AGUAACACGUGGGUAACCUGCCCGGAAGUGGGGAAUACCUCGGGGAAACUCGAGCUAAUACCGCAUGACAUCUUUGGGACGAGAGUCCUGACGAUCAAAGCGGGGUCGCAAGAUCUCGCGCUACCGGAUGGGCCCGCGCCCGAUUAGCUAGUUGGCGAGGUAAUGGCUCACCAAGGCUUCGAUCGGUAACCGGCCUGAGAGGGCGAUCGGUCACACCGGAACUGAGACACGGUCCGG
rnacentral:rRNA from 1 species